CUACGGUCUCAGUUCAGAUUGCAGGCUGCAACUCGCCUGCAUGAAGUUGGAAUUGCUAGUAAUCGCGAAUCAGAAUGUCGCGGUGAAUACGUUCCCGGGCCUUGUACACACCGCCCGUCACACCAUGAGAGUCGAUAACACCCGAAGCCUGUGAGCUAACCGUAAGGAGGCAGCAGUCGAAGGUGGGGUUGAUGAUUGGGGUGAAGUCGUAACAAGGUAAC
rnacentral:rRNA from 1 species